UGGGGAAUAUUGCACAAUGGGCGCAAGCCUGAUGCAGCGACGCCGCGUGAGGGAUGACGGCCUUCGGGUUGUAAACCUCUUUCAGCAGGGAAGAAGCGCAAGUGACGGUACCUGCAGAAGAAGCGCCGGCUAACUACGUGCCAGCAGCCGCGGUAAUACGUAGGGCGCAAGCGUUGUCCGGAAUUAUUGGGCGUAAAGAGCUCGUAGGCGGUUUGUCGCGUCUGCUGUGAAAACCUAAGGCUCAACCUUGGGCUUGCAGUGGGUACGGGCAGACUAGAGUGCGGUAGGGGUGACUGGAAUUCCUGGUGUAGCGGUGGAAUGCGCAGAUAUCAGGAGGAACACCGAUGGCGAAGGCAGGUCACUGGGCCGCAACUGACGCUGAGGAGCGAAAGCAUGGGGAGCGGAACAGGAUUAGAUACCCUGGUAGUCCAUGCCGUAAACGUUGGGCACGUAGGUGUGGGGCUCGAUUCCACGAGUUCCGUC
rnacentral:rRNA from 1 species